GAUGAAGAAGGCAGCGAAAUGCGAUAAGUGAUGUGAAUUGCAGAAUUCAGUGAAUCAUCGAAUCUUUGAAUGCACAUUGCGCCCGCUGGUAUUCCGGCGGGCAUGCCUGUUCGAUCGUCAUUUCAACCCUCAAGCUCUCCGGAGUUUGGUGUUGGGGCGCCUGGGGCUUUUCGACCUCAGGGCCCUCAAGUCCAUCGGCGGGACCGCCAGGACACUGAGCGCAGUAGUAUUAUUUCGCUCGGUAGGAUCUUCCACGGCGGGUCGAUCUGGCCGCUAAACCCCCCAAUUCUCACCAAAGGUUGACCUCGGAUCAGGUAGGAAUACCCGCUGAACUUAAGCAUAUCAAUAAGCGGAGGA
rnacentral:misc_RNA from 1 species